rnacentral:lncRNA from 1 species
GUCUGUAUUUUACCCUUAUUAUUUUAAAAUAUCUUUUUUGCUUGUUAAAGUUAAAAAUCUCCAAACCAUGUAUUGAAAAUAUUGAAGACAUGCUUUUGCUGAAAAUUGUUCUUUUCAGGAGAGAGUUAUGAUGCUUCUAGACUUUAACAUCUGAAUUAAAAUUUACAGUUUUUCCAUGUGUUUAUUUUUAAAAUUUCAGAAUGUAAUUGAAAACCUCUAUAUCUCCAUUCAGAAAAUUUCUUCAUGUACAUGUACAUGUAUGGACGAGAGAAGAUGCCAAAUAAAAAUUUAACCAUAAUCAAUAUUGCAGACUCUGCAAGGGCUGUAUAGAGAGAUUGUUAAAAACUUCUAUCAUCACCAUCAAUAGGUUUCUUGGUUUUUAUAAAAAUACAAUUUAUAGUCAAAACAUUGUUUGUUUACACAAUAAACAUCAACAAAUCAAUAUACAUUCAGAAUUUUUUAAACAUUAAAAAUUCAGACAUAUCUUUUUCACAGAAAACAAUGAUAUAAUUUCUGAAUAAAAACAUCUAUUUUGAGGGUCACUUCUGGAGGUUGGUAUUCCAUGGGUUUCUUAAUGGUUUCCUUUUUCAAAAUGUGUGACUUAUAAU